UACAGGGGGGGCAAGCGUUGUUCGGAAUUACUGGGCGUAAAGGGUUCGUAGGUGGCCACUUAAGUCAGACGUGAAAUCCCUCAGCUUAACUGGGGAACUGCGUCUGAUACUGGGUGGCUUGAGUGCAGGAGAGGAAUGCGGAAUUCCAGGUGUAGCGGUGAAAUGCGUAGAUAUCUGGAGGAACACCGGUGGCGAAGGCGGCAUUCUGGACUGUAACUGACACUGAGGAACGAAAGCCAGGGGAGCAAACGGG
rnacentral:rRNA from 1 species